rnacentral:lncRNA from 1 species
AGUUGUUCAAAUGCUGAACGAUGGCAUGGAGAAGGAAGUUAACUGGCCCUUCUAAGAAGUGUUCUUGAGCUGCCAAGAGGGCAUGGGAUAGUUGGUUUAAACAUGUUGAUCGGGAGGCAAGUUUCAUAGCUGAUCACAUGGCAACCAUUGCAGCAACUAGCUAGAGAUGCAAUUGGAAUAAUCUAUGGACGCUACUACUUGGGAUAAUUUGAG